UAUAAGGCAUAAGCAUCGCAUGAUAUCACAGCAAAUAGUUGUUGCAGUAUGUCUAACAAGCAUCCAAGGACUUGUCGUCAUGGUAAAAAUCCAAGCUUUUGUAGUUUCCAUGAAUGAGUCUCCGAGGAAUGCGUCUUCCACGUAAACUUUACUGAUGAAUUCGACCAAAAAAAGCUGAAAACGAAUACGCACCGUUUUAGCUUCUUUAGAGUUAGAAGUAUAAAGAUAAUCAGUAUAAGCGCAAGAAGACUAGCGAUAUGUAUGGUAAGUAAAUAUUACAAAAAGAUGAUGCACACACCUUUUGAAAACUUGAACGAUUGACCUGAGACAAUGUUUCAGGAAUUGAAUCUACGUCCUGUACAUCAAAGUUCGUAACGAAGGGUUGACAACCAGAGGCCUAUGAAUUAGUUUACGUUUCAAAGGAAGAGUAAACAAAACAGCAAAAGCUAGAAAACGUCGCGGAUCAU